rnacentral:lncRNA from 1 species
AUAAUCUGAGUUUAAUUCUACUUUUGCAACUUCGUUAACCGUUGGUUUGGCGAACAAAGAAUUAGAGAUGCCAGGAGAGAAGUAUAACCGAGCUCCGAUUGCUAGGGUUUGUUUGUUCACCAAACUAAACAUAAACUAAUCAAAUCUUGAAACAAAAUUUUCAAAUCUUAAAAUUACUAAACUUAAUAUGAUAGUAGUGGGCUUCCCGAACAGCGGUGGGGUUGGUUCACAGACGACGUUCGUUCGAUGUGAGCAACUACCGCGAUUUGGAGCAGCAGCGCUACCGCACCAUCCAGAUCUUAGAUGUGGAGAAGAUGAAGGUUGAAGUAGACGUUGGCUGGAGAAAACGAAGAAAGGACAAAAAAAGAGGAAAAAGGAAAAAGAAAAUGAGCACGGAGAAGAGAAAGAAAGACGGAGAAAAAUAAAAUAAAAAAUAUAUUUUUUUUUUCUAUUUUACCCUUGAGCCGUUUGAGUAAAUAGCUAAAAUUAGCGGAUUGUCAUCCAUAUGACUAUUUUUAAAAUAUGUAUCACUUUUUUUAAAUAUAUCAAAAUAUGUGCCACUUGAAGGUAAUUAACCUUAUUUUUUAGCAUUAGUUCGUGUUCUCCAUAGGUUUAUCAUGUCAGAAUUAAAUUUGACCGUUGUAAGGAAUCUCGACCAUUGGAAAUAUCCGACGCUCAAAAUUACAUAUCUCAUUAUUUCAAUACGAGGACAUCCACUCUUGAGAAUAAUUGUAGAUAUACAAUGUGAGAUUCUAAUAAGAGAUCUCGAUUCUUGCCCAUUAACUAAAGUGUGUGUGAGACUGAAAUUGGAGCCAUUAGAUUCAAUGGCUCAUUAAAGUCUGCAUGAUAGGCCCACCAAUUUUGAGACUCUAAAAUAAAAUAAAAAAACAAUGGGCUAUUGAAUUCAAAUCAAUGGCCUCAAUUGGGAAACUAACAAAUAUAUGUAGAGUUUUCUUCUAAUUAAUAAGACUCCUUGCCUUAAUAUAGUGUGCAUUAAGCACUAAGUUAAAAGAUAAAAAUAUACAUAUACGAAGGACUUUUUUAAAAGAUAGAAACACACAAAUUCUAAUAUAUGGUAAUAAAUUAAAAUAAAGACUAAACUAAAUAACAAGAAAAAUACCAAUUUUGAAUUCGUAUUAUUAUAUCUCUUUAGUCUAGUUCUCAUUAUUUAAUAAACUAAGAGCUUUUCAUUGGAAGAUGACUUUAAGACUAUGCUACCAGUUCAAUCUCUCUCAAUUGUUUUGGAUAUGUUGAUUGUACGUAAUUGUUUUCUUUAUAAUUCGCAUUUUUAAUGAGAUAAUAUAUCCAAACCAUUAUGGUUGUAGUUACAGUAAACAUCUUUAUAGUGAUAUUUUAUAUGGAAAUAAUUUUUUAUAUAGUUAGGGCCAAUUUGACCAGUCACGAAUAUGAAUAAACUCCAUAUUGUAAUAAUUUAUAAUUUUUCAUGAUCCAAUCUUAAGGAAUUUACCUCCACAUAGUUAUAAUUGUCUAUAUAAAAAAAAUGUUAUAUUACAUUAAAGAUUUAAGAUGGAACAAAAUAAUUUUUGUGAAAGAUAUUUGGGACAAUAAUUUAUGCAAUGUACAACAUUUAUGAAAUUUAUAUUAAGAAAAAACUUUAAAUAGAAUGCAAAUGUGUAAAUUUUAAUAUGACUUCAUAUUUCCAAUACUAUAUUGAUACAUUAUAC